rnacentral:rRNA from 1 species
UACAGAGGUCUCAAGCGUUGUUCGGAUUCAUUGGGCGUAAAGGGUGCGUAGGUGGCGCUGUAAGUCGGGUGUGAAAUUUCGGAGCUUAACUCCGAAACUGCAUUCGAUACUGCGGUGCUUGAGGACUGGAGAGGAGACUGGAAUUCAUGGUGUAGCAGUGAAAUGCGUAGAGAUCAUGAGGAACACCAAUGGCGAAGGCAGCUCGCUGGGACGGUACUGACGCUGAGACGCGAAAGCGUGGGGGAGCAAACAGG